AGACCCUCUUCUCUUUGUAUACUGCCUGGCCGUAGCAUUGGCCUUUGCGUUUAUCUUGAUCAUUCUCCUUGCCUGCAUCAUUUACAAGAUGAAGAAGACAACAUGUCUGCAGUGCAGUGAACUGGUCUCUCAGACAAGAGGUCCUUCAGUUUCCCGGUCAGAUGCAAGUAGCCAAGAUGCAGACAGUCUCCAUUACGUAGCUCUGCCUCUGAGCAACAAGAAGAACAGGUCUAGAAGACAGAGAGGAAACAUGGAGGAAGAGACGGUGGUCAUGUACUCUGGAAUUAGACAGUAGAACUGGAUGAAUGAAACCAUUUCCCCUUCAUACUAGAUAACUCUUUAACUAGCUCUAGCUUCGUUAGCUAUUUCUUUGAAUGGAUAUGCU